ACAAUUUCAAUAAUUCAACAUUUAUACCCCUUAAUAUAUUAUACAUUACAAAACAAAUCAUUUUAUUCCCUUAGUAUAGGCGAUAAAAAAGGACCUCGGAGCCAUAGAGAAAGUACCGCAAGGGAAAG
rnacentral:rRNA from 1 species